GAAAAUAUAUUUCAUAUUUUUUUAACAAGUCGAAAAGUGGAAAACCAUAAAGAAACUUGCAAACAGUUACUGCUCUACAAGCAGACCAUUUAAAUUGAAAAAAAAAAAAUUAAAUAUGGUCUGAAUAGAAAAAUAUCCCUUCGAAUGACCUUGAAGGUAAAAAGCCCACAUAACUUCUUUUUUUUCUUUUUUUUUUUGGUAAACCACAGAACUUUUCUAUUUGAUGGUAUGGAUACAUUUUUCUUUGAGUGGGACAUGGGAGGAUAUGAUCUGAGAAAGAGCGUGGUGAAAAUGAGGAAACAGCUUUGAGCACAUAUUUUCCUUGUGUUUAUAGCAUCAAAUAGGUGACACAAAAUGAAAGUAAAACAGUUUCUACUAACUCACCGUUUAAUGGAUCUUGAGAAACAGGCAUUUCAAUGCGAUUGAAAGUAGUGGAUCCUGACAAUGGUUGAUGAUUAUGAACUUGACUGAGAGCGAGAUUUAUCAGCUCACCAACAUCUUUGAGUACCUAUGGAAUAAAGGAUAAGAUUAAAUAUCAAGCAGUGGAGGAUAUUUGCUAAGUCACAGGUUGUUCCCAUUCUACAAUGAUAUUUAAGACAACCUUUAAUGGUAUCUUCUCUCUUCCAAUGACCUUAGAAAGAUCAAACAUAACAUUAUCGAUGCUAGGUUGACCUCCAAGUUUCACUUUUUUAUCUCCUGAACUUUGUUCCUUGUCACGAGAAUGCUGUUGAUUAAUAUCUUUCUCAACAGUAAAGGAAAAGGAUGAACGCCCCUUCUUCUCUAUUUUAGCAGGGACUCGGAGUAAAUUUUUACUAGGUGGGAUGUUAGAUAUUUUCUGCCCAAGACCACCAAAAACAACUUUAACUGCAAUUUCUUGUCUCCCUGCAUUUUGAAUAAUUGCAGGAUCAGCAUCCAGCUCAAUCACAUCUAUUUCUUGAUCACCUUCAACCUUUUCUUCAUCUUCGUCCUCAUCUUCAGCAUCUGAAUUCUCG
rnacentral:lncRNA from 1 species